rnacentral:rRNA from 1 species
UACAGAGGGUGCAAGCGUUGUUCGGAAUUACUGGGCGUAAAGCGUGCGUAGGCGGUUUCUUAAGUCUGCUGUGAAAGCCCCGGGCUCAACCUGGGAAUGGCGGUGGAUACUGAGGAGCUGGAGUACGGUAGAGGAAGGUGGAAUUCCCGGUGUAGCGGUGAAAUGCGUAGAGAUCGGGAGGAACAUCAGUGGCGAAGGCGGCCUUCUGGACCAGUACUGACGCUGAGGCACGAAAGCGUGGGAGCAAACAGGG